rnacentral:rRNA from 1 species
UAAAGGUCGAAAGGGGAGAUUCAGUUUCCAUUCCUCACUGCCGCUCCGCGCCGCCGGGUUAAAAUCGGGGUCGCCUUCGGGUGGCCCCGGGCCCGCGGCGCGGUCUCGCGCGCGGGAGGUGGAGCGCACUUCUCCCCGAGUAGGACGCCGCGACCGGUUGGGUGACGGCCUAAGGCCCGGGUGCGAGCCCGUCCCGCGACUUCGGUCUGCGGGGCGGAGCCCCGGUGUCCCGGCCGUCUGCCCGACCGUCGAACGUAAGGAAUCGGCCCGCGCUAUCCUAGCGCGCCCGUGCCCCUGGCGAGCGUCCGGCCGCGUUUCCCGUCGUGCGGACUUGUCCGCCGCGGGCCGGCCGGCGUUGUCGGCUUGGGGACUUCUCGGGCAGGGCCUUUUCUCCUGUCCGCGGCGCUCAAAACUGGGCGGCCCACCCGACCCGUCUUGAAACACGGACCAAGGAGUCUAACAUGUGCGCGAGUCAUUGGGUCCCACUACACCCAAGGGCGUAUUGAACGAGAAGGCCGGCCCUCGCGCC